UAUAUACCGCCCGUGCCCCGCUGGAAAAUUCGAAUAAAAUAUAUCAGACACCCACGGCCGGUUAAUAAGGCACGAAAUUACGGGUUGGGUAGGAAUUCUCGGCGAAGUAGUCGACUGACAGUAAGCGCCCCCAUUAAAAUACAUCGGUGUAUAGCGCAUUCCAUGCCCUCCUCCUCCAAGGAAUAAUAUAUAGAAUUAACGCCUCUUUUCGAACAGGACGAUUAAAUUUCUCGAUUACGAAAAGAGGGGAGGGCGAGGCCAUCGGUGUAUUUUCUUCACGAAAAUUUUAUGAAACGCAUGUAUAUAUAUAUAAAAUAAUAAAAGUUUUUCAAAAUAUUAUUAUUAUUUAUUAGGAUGGUUAUUUGAAAGGUGUACGAAAAUUAUGCACUAAAUACAAUAUAUUAUGGAUCGCAGACGAAAUUCAAACUGGUUUAUGUAGGACAGGUAAACGAUUAGCAGUAGAUCAUGAAAAUGAAAGACCAGAUAUUCUCAUAUUGGGAAAAGCAUUGUCUGGAGGAAUGUAUCCUGUUUCUGGUAUUUUGGCAGAUGAUCACAUAAUGUUAUGCUUGGAAACUAGCACUCACGGUAGUACAUUCGGUGGAAGUCCACUUGGUAAUAGAGUGGGGAAGAGGGGAAAAAGUGAUUUUAGGUAAAAUGAUCGUAAAGAUGAAUCGCGAAGAGCGGAUUCUCGGUAUCGGUAUUCUGCUUUUAUAAUUUGAAAUGUAAUCGCGGAAGGAAAUCGCGGCCUGGCACCGGGUGCCACUAAAUAUACAAAACGGUGUCGUUGGUUAAUAAGCUACGAAACUGGGCGCAGGAGCGCUCUUCAGGUAACAGUAAAUACGCGCCAAGUACUAAAAUUUGCAUUUA